rnacentral:lncRNA from 1 species
UUAGAUAUUUGUGACUAUAAAUUAAAUUCCCUUUUUUUUUUUUAUUCAAUAACAUACAUAAAAAAAAAAUUACAAUCACACACACAUCUCCUUUUUUAUUAUUUAUCACUUUCUCUUUUCUUUUCUUUUUCUUUUACAUCUACAUUUACAUAAUACAAAUAAAAAAUUCAGAAUCAAAUAAAAAAAAUUACAUCAAACAAAUUUUAAAUUACAAAAAAAAAAGCCCCUAAACAAUCUAGAAAUAACAGGGAUAGCCUUCAGCAGCCGGAACAGUGUUCAACAAAUUUUCUGGGCGCAGGAACAGUGACGACGCGUGGAUCCCACGCACCACCGCCACUGGCGGCGCGUGGGACCACGCGCCGCCGUGAAAAACAACCCGAAACAGGGGGGGUCUGCAACGACCUCCUCCCCCUUUCUUUCCUCGCCGGCGCCGACCUGCAAUAACAAUAAAAAACCUAACAAAGCAGUCGAUUUUAAUUUUUUCUUAGUUUUUUUUCAGAUCUGUUUUUUCUUCUUCUUCUCCAUAUCUGCUUCGGAUUUUGCUUCUUCUUGUCCGAUCUGGCUUCUCCUUCUCUGUUUUAGGCGACGGACGGCGCUGCUGGAGGCCGAUCUGGUUUGUGGCGGCGUUGAUGAUCACGGGUCUGCGGGGAGAAGCAGCGGCUGGGAUGGGUCGGCCAGGAGGGGGUCGGUUCGGUUUCCGUGGACGGUCUGGCCCCUCGUCUGGUCCUUGUCCGGCGUGAGGCUGAGCUCGGGCUGUUGAAGCUACGGUGGAGUUGGCAUGGCCGCUGGUCUGCGGGGAGAAGAUCAGGAAGAAGACAACGGGGAUGGAGAGGGACGGCGCCGCUGGGUUCUUCGGGUGGCAGAGGGGAUGGUCCGGGGGGAAGGAGGAAAAACAAAAUCAGAGGUAGGGGAUCGUCCGGGUUCGGUGAGAAAAAGGGAAAAAAAAUUUGAUGAGAGGUUGCUGUCCUUGGUGAUCGGCUGGGGCGAAGUUGAAGAAGAAAAGAAAAAAAAAAAUCUUUGGAGAGGGCUGUCGGCUGUGUUAUGGUCGGUUGAGGGGGGGAGCCUGGCCACCGGUUGGAGAAAAAAAAUCAAGGUGGGGGAGCUGGCGGCUGACUCCUUGAGAGGAGAAAAAAAUUAAGCUUCUAGGGUUUCUGAUUUUGUGUUCCUUCCCUCUAAAAUUACC